GACGAACGCUGGCGGCGUGCUUAACACAUGCAAGUCGAACGAAGAGCGAUGGAAGCUUGCUUCUAUCAAUCUUAGUGGCGAACGGGUGAGUAACGCGUAAUCAACCUGCCCUUCAGAGGGGGACAACAGUUGGAAACGACUGCUAAUACCGCAUACGAUCUAAUCUCGGCAUCGAGGAUGGAUGAAAGGUGGCCUCUAUUUAUAAGCUAUCACUGAGGGAGGGGAUUGCGUCUGAUUAGCUAGUUGGAGGGGUAACGGCCCACCAAGGCGAUGAUCAGUAGCCGGUCUGAGAGGAUGAACGGCCACAUUGGGACUGAGACACGGCCCAGACUCCUACGGGAGGCAGCAGUGGGGAAUCUUCCGCAAUGGACGAAAGUCUGACGGAGCAACGCCGCGUGAGUGAUGACGGCCUUCGGGUUGUAAAGCUCUGUUAAUCGGGACGAAAGGCCUUCUUGCGAAUAGUUAGAAGGAUUGACG
rnacentral:rRNA from 1 species